CAGGUAGGGAUACCCGCUGAACUU
rnacentral:rRNA from 2 species